rnacentral:rRNA from 1 species
AACGAACGCUGGCGGCAUGCCUAACACAUGCAAGUCGAACGAGCCCUUCGGGGCUAGGGGCGCAGGGGUGCGUAACGCGUGGGAACCUGCCCUUAGGUUCGGAAUAACUCCCCGACAGGGGUGCUAAUACCGGAUAAUGUCUUGGGACCAAAGAUUUAUCGCCAUUGGAUGGGCCCGCGUUGGAUUAGCUAGUUGGUAGGGUAAAAGCCUACCAAGGCGACGAUCCAUAGCUGGUCUGAGAGGAUGAUCAGCCACACUGGGACUGAGACACGGCCCAGACUCCUACGGGAGGCAGCAGUGGGGAAUAUUGGACAAUGGGCGAAAGCCUGAUCCAGCAAUGCCGCGUGAGUGAUGAAGGCCUUAGGGUUGUAAAGCUCUUUUACCCGGGAUGAUAAUGACAGUACCGGGAGAAUAAGCCCCGGCUAACUCCGUG